ACUUGCGGUUACAGACAGGUGGUCCAGUGCCAAGAGACAUUUAUCAGAGAAUUAAAAAACUUGAGGAUAAAAUCCUUGAAUUGGAAGGCAUCUCUCCUGAAUAUUUUCAGUCUGUAGCCUGUGAACAUAUAUGACACAAGCCCUAUGGGAAAGAAGAUUUCAUACUCAUCACCCUUCUAUAAUAGGAUGAAUGAGCCAUCUUUAGGAACCUCACUUGGAAUACAGUCAGCUAUAAGAAUGUCCUUGCAAACAGGAGAAGUUGAGCACAUACCUUACAGAGGACAUAGUACAUUAUUCAUCACCCUCACCAUCAUGCUGGGAGUACAUGCAUGAGCUUUUCUGGAAAAAGAAGAAAAGUUCAACCACCUCAACAGAACUAUUCACUGGCUGAACUUGAUGAGAAAAUUAGUGCCCUCAAACAAGCCCUUCUCAGAAAAUCAAGAG
rnacentral:sRNA from 1 species